GAUGAACGCUGGCGGCGUGCCUAAUACAUGCAAGUCGAGCGAACGGACGAGAAGCUUGCUUUUCUGAUGUUAGCGGCGGACGGGUGAGUAACACGUGGAUAACCUACCUAUAAGACUGGGAUAACUUCGGGAAACCGGAGCUAAUACCGGAUAAUAUUUUGAACCGCAUGGUUCAAAAGUGAAAGACGGUCUUGCUGUCACUUAUAGAUGGAUCCGCGCUGCAUUAGCUAGUUGGUAAGGUAACGGCUUACCAAGGCAACGAUGCAUAGCCGACCUGAGAGGGGGAUAGGCCACCUGGGAACUGAGACACGGUCCAGACUACUACGGGAGGCAGCAGUAGGGAAUCUUCCGCAAUGGGCGAAAGCCUGACGGAGCAACGCCGCGUGAGUGAUGAAGGUCUUCGGAUCGUAAAACUCUGUUAUUAGGGAAGAACAGAUGUGUAAGUAACUGUGCACAUCUUGACGGUACCUAAUCAGAAAGCCACGGCUAACUACGUG
rnacentral:rRNA from 1 species